rnacentral:misc_RNA from 1 species
ACACCUCAACUCUCAUGGUUUGCCGUGAUGAGCUUGGACUUUGGGGGUCUUGCUGGCCUGCGGUCAGCUCCUCUAAAAUGAAUCAGCUUUCCAGUGUUUGGUGGCGUCACAGGUGUGAUAACUAUCUACGCUUGCGGUUUUCCACCAGGUAACCUCCAGCAAUGGAGGUUCGCUGGGGCUCACAAACGUCCUCUCCUCAGUGAAGACAGCUUUGUGAAC